rnacentral:lncRNA from 1 species
GGGAAGAAGGGUGAGUGAGUGCAUAGGAUGAAAAUCAUGUCGAAUUCUUUUAGGAAUGCUAGAGCAUACCUCAUGGAGAAAGUAAUGACAACAAUCACAACCAUAAGCUACCCCGAAAAUUAUAAUAGUACACAUGUUGCAUUUUAUAACUUCUCUUCCUUUAAGGUGGAAUCUUAGCAGAGGAUGUCUGUGUCUGAAAUGCACCUGAUCACCAUCACGAAGACGAGG